rnacentral:rRNA from 1 species
GACGAACGCUGGCGGCGUGCCUAAUACAUGCAAGUCGAACGCAGUGGGGACGGGUGAGUAACACGUGGGUAACCUCCCAUCAGAGGGGAUAACACUUGGAAACAGGUGCUAAACCGAUACUGAUGGAUGGACCCGCGGUGCAUUAGCUAGUUGGUGAGGUAACGGCCCACCUAGGCCACGAUGCAUAGCCGGCCUGAGAGGGUGAUCAGCCAAACUGGGACUGAGAAACGGCACAGACUCCUACGGGAGGCAGCAGGAGGGAAUCUUGGGCAAUGGACGAAAGCCUGACCGAGCAACGCCGCGUGAAUGAAGAAGGUUUUCGGAUCGUAAAAGACUGUUGUUAGAGAAGCGGUAUCUGACGAAAAAGCACCGGCUAACUACGUGCCAGCAGCCGCGGUAAUAC